rnacentral:misc_RNA from 1 species
GAUGAAGAACGCAGCGAAAUGCGAUAAGUAAUGUGAAUUGCAGAAUUCAGUGAAUCAUCGAAUCUUUGAACGCAUCUUGCGCUCCUUGGUAUUCCUUGGAGCAUGCCUGUUUGAGUAUCAUGAGCAAAUCUCAAAGUCAAUUCCUUUUGUUAAUUCAAUUGGUUUUGCUUUGGACUUGGAGGUCUUGCAGAUUUCACAGUCUGCUCCUCUUAAAUGCAUUAGCUGGAUCUCAGUAAUUAUGCUUGGUUCCACUCGGCGUGAUAAGUAUCACUCGCUGAGGACACUGUUAAAAAGGUGGCCAGGAAAAUACUGAUUGAACCGCUUCUAACGGUCUAUUAAGUUUGACAAUUACCCUUAAGUUUGAUCUCAAAUCAGGUAGGACUACCCGCUGAACUUAAGCAUAUCAAUAAGCGGAGGA